GACGAGGUGCAAGCGUUAUCCGGAUUUACUGGGUUUAAAGGGUGCGUAGGUGGGCAGGUAAGUCAGCGGUGAAAUCUCCGAGCUUAACUCGGAAACUGCCAUUGAUACUAUCUGUCUUGAAUUAUCUGGAGGUGAGCGGAAUAUGUCAUGUAGCGGUGAAAUGCUUAGAUAUGACAUAGAACACCAAUUGCGAAGGCAGCUCACUACGGAUACAUUGACACUGAGGCACGGAAAGCGUGGGGAUCAAACCAGG
rnacentral:rRNA from 1 species